rnacentral:lncRNA from 1 species
UAAUUGUUUACCUCUUUAUUUCAUAUUGGCAGCCUUUUAUAGACUGUUAAUAACAAAUGAAAGAGUCCUAAUUGACAUAAAAUAUAAUUCCUAAUGAAAGAGUCCUAAUUGACAUAAAAUAGAAUUCCUAACUUAGAGUUUAUGAAGGAAAUAAAAACCUAAUAUAAUAGAUAAGUAAAACUAAAACCCUUAGUAAAACCUGAUAUAUAAUAAAUAAAUAAAACUAAAAACUCCUAUUGUAAUUAAAGUGUCCAUAUCAAAAUAUUAUUAUAUAUGGUGGAUUAUAAUUAUUUGUUGCCUCUUUGACUUGUUCUAAUUUCAUCUGCACGGG